UCCGGUUUGGCACCGGCAGUCUCCGAUGAGUCCCCGGCUUUACCCGCUGGCAACAUCGGACAGGGGUUGCGCUCGUUGCGCCACUUAAGGCAACACCUCACGGCACGAGCUGACGACAGCCAUGCAGCACCUGUGCGGGCUCCCGAAGGAGCGCCGUGUUUCCACGGCAUUCCAGUGCAUGUCAAGCCCUGGUAAGGUUCUUCGCGUCGCGUCGAAUUAAACCACAUACUCCACCGCUUGUGCGGGCCCCCGUCAAUUCCUUUGAGUUUCAGUCUUGCGACCGUACUCCCCAGGCGGCGAACUUAACGCGUUAGCUUCGACACUGAGAGCCUGAUUGCUCCCAACGUCCAGUUCGCAUCGUUUAGGGCGUGGACUAC
rnacentral:misc_RNA from 1 species